AUGGAGGGCAAAGUAACGGGGAAACAGAAAGUGAAAAAGCAGUGGGCCCAGCGGAGGUGGCGUCGCGGCCCUGAGAGGAAGAAUAGAGAUUCAGGGCGAGGAGACAGCAGUCAGAAUUGGCAGCGCGGGGUUCAUGGUAUCGGGGAGGCCCGAGGAUGUGAGCGGAGAGAAGGGCGGAAAAGGAGUCGUAACGAGGGAGGCGAGAGCCCGGAGCGGCCGGGGAGCGGGGGCGGGGGCGGCGCGAGGAGGAGCACCAGGCCGGGUUUCCCCACCGCCGCCCCAGAGGCGGGGGGCGGGGGGAGCGGGGAGGGGUCCGGGAGUCCCGCCGGGAGGGAGCCGGGACUGGAGCGGCGUCGGGGAGCCGGGAGGAGCCGGCGUCCGGGGAGGCAGCGGGGCGCGGGGCGCGGGUGCGCCCACCCCGGGGCUCCCGGAACCCCGGCGCCCGCCCCCGUCCCUCCUGCGGCAGCCCCCGGCCCGGGCCGCGCCCCGGCUCCGCGCCCCGGCUCCGCGCCCCGGCUCUGCCGCCAGGCCCGGCUCCCGGCUCAGCGGCCCCGCGGAGCCCGCCGUCCCACCGGCUCGGGGCGCACCGACAGGCAACCGCGGCUCGACGGGAGGAGCCCGAGGUCCGCGCCGGGGCGGGCGGCGCGAGACACCCCCGCCCCGAGGCCGCAGCCCCGCAGCCGACUCACACGCGCGGGGCUCCCACGGGAGGGGUGCGGAGGAGCAGGCGUCCGAGGGAGGAGGAGUGGGACCGAGGGAGAGCCGGAGACGCGGGCGGGGAGGCGGGAGGGUGACCGCGACCCGGGGCCGGGCGGGGGGCGGCGACCGCUUUGUCUGAGGACAAUGGGGAGGGAAGGGGGCGCGGGCGGGGCGGCGCGGGGCGGGGCGGGGCGGGGCGGGGCCGGCUCCCGAGCCCGCGCGUGGGCCCCGCCUCCCCGGCUCCCCUUCUCGCGCCCGAGCCCCGGCCCGGCCCGGCCCUCCUGCCGCGAGCCCCGGAGAACGCAGGUGUCCAGGCCCUGGCCCCCGCCCCGCCCGCCCCGCCCGCCGCGCCCGCCGCGACUCAGGCCCCUCGAGGGACUCGCAGAGGAAGCAGCCGCUGCCCCGGCCGGGCCCGCCCCUCCCCAGGCGGUGGCCUCUCCCGGCCAGCCUGCGUCACUGCGGGGUCCCGGGCGGCCACCCGGACACGUACUCGGAAGCCCACGGCUUUGGUAA
rnacentral:lncRNA from 1 species